rnacentral:rRNA from 1 species
AUUGAACGCUGGCGGCAGGCCUAACACAUGCAAGUCGAACGGUAACAGGAAGCAGCUUGCUGCUUUGCUGACGAGUGGCGGACGGGUGAGUAAUGUCUGGGAAACUGCCCGAUGGAGGGGGAUAACUACUGGAAACGGUAGCUAAUACCGCAUAACGUCGCAAGACCAAAGAGGGGGACCUUAGGGCCUCUUGCCAUCGGAUGUGCCCAGAUGGGGUUCGCUAGUAGGUGGGGUAACGGCUCACCUAGGCGACGAUCCCUAGCUGGUCGGAGAGGAUGACCAGCGACACGGGAAGUGAGACACGGUCCGGACGCCGACGGGAGGCAGCAGUGGGGAAUAUUGCACAAUGGGCGCAAGCCUGAUGCAGCCAUGCCGCGUGUAUGAAGAAGGCCUUCGGGUUGUAAAGUACUUUCAGCGGGGAGGAAGGGAGUAAAGUUAAUACCUUUGCUGACUGACGUUACCCGCAGAAGAAGCACCGGCUAACUCCGUG